rnacentral:misc_RNA from 1 species
AAGUCGUAACAAGGUUUCCGUAGGUGAACCUGCGGAAGGAUCAUUAACACGUAUCCAACGUUAAACCCCCUGUGAACCUUCAUUGUACGAGUUACAUCCACGUCAUAAACCGGCAAUCUCUGGUAAAUCAUCGCCGAACAGUUUUGAUUCAGAGACCUCUGGGAAGGGUGUACGGUAGUGCGAGGCAAUUGACCUGGCAUUCCUCUGCUUGUUAGUGUCUGAAAGUGUCACUAGCUAUGUACGGAUGGCGCAGUAACGAUCGCUGGAGGCCGACACGGCCGGCGACCAGGUCACUGGGCUACGGCCCCCCUGGGCCUGCGCUGAGGUGCGGCCACCCCUAAUGCUUGAACAACUGUUAACAAUGGAUAUCUUGGUUCUC